UGUUCAGCGUAUUUUCUUAGUCAUUUCCAUUGCGAUCACUAUGGUGGCCUUAGCAAGAAAUGGUCUCAUGGCCCUAUCUAUUGCUCUCCUCUCACGGGACGGCUUGUUCAAAUGUGUCUAUCGGUAUAUCCACCCUUUGGAAUUUAAUACGGAACAUGUGAUUGAUGGUGUCAAAGUGACUUUUUUAGAAGCUAAUCAUUGCCCUGGUGCGGCUUUGAUUCACUUUAGCCUCCCAAAUGACCAACGUUAUUUGCACACUGGGGACUUUAGAGCGUGUAAACCAAUGCAAGCUUACCGUCUUCUUGUAAAUCAACGUGUAAAUGUACUUUAUUUGGAUACUACAUAUUGCAAUCCAAAGUACAGGUUCCCUUCCAAGGAAGAUGUACUAAAUUAUGUUGUCAAAAUUACAAAGAACCAUCUCAAAAUUCAUCAGAGAACUUUAGUGGUCGUUGGGGCUUACAGUAUUGGCAAAGAAUGUGUAUAUCUUGCAAUUUCUAAAGCUCUUGGGGUAAAAAUUUAUGCCAAUGCUUCAAGAAGACGGAUUUUACAAGCUUUUGAUUGGUCCGACCUUUCAGAUAGACUCUGUACAAUAGGAAAGAACACGCUUCUCCAUGUCCUGCCCAUGUCAUCUUUGAGACCUGAGACCUUAAAAGAUUACUUGAAGACAUACAAGGAUCAAUUCACAGAAGUUUUGGCGUUCCGUCCAACAGGUUGGACUUUCAAUGAAAAGAUAAGCAACGAUCUGGAACUAAUUAAACCUGUUACCAAAGGAAAUAUCACGAUUUAUGGAGUUCCCUACAGUGAGCAUUCCAGCUAUACAGAACUGCGAGAUUUUGUUCAGUUUUUGAGACCUGACAAGAUCAUUCCAACUGUGAAUGUUGGGAAUGCUGCUAAUCGAGAAAAGAUGCAAUCCUAUUUCCGAGACUGGCUGAGGUGCUGAAGUCUCUUAUUCACUGCUAUUUCUAGAUGGGAUUUAAGUAUUUAUUUCAGGUCUCUACAUUUAUUGCUGCUUGUAGAAGUUUAAGCUCCGGUGUACUUCCCAUUUAUUGCUGCUACUAAAUUUGGAUGCAAUGCAGGGCAUUCAUCAACUUUAUGACAACCAAAGUAGGACCAGAAUAAAAUGAGAUGCCAUACAUUCUGAUAUUUUCUGAAGAGUACUUUAGCAAUGCCCAAUUUGAACAUUGUUGAACAAAUACAAAAGAAGUAAAUGUUGUAUCUCUAUGCGGUUGGAUUGACUAGUAUAACUUUCGCUAAAGCUGUGCAUGUGAUUGACCAAAUCUGAUUGUAUUUUGGGAAAUAAUCUACAUGUAGAUAUGAUUAAAAUAUAUUAGACAUUGUUAAAUAUAAUUUUGUGAUUAA